rnacentral:tRNA from 1 species
UCAUGGUAUAGCUCAGUGGUAGAGUAUUUGCCUAGAAUCCAUGAGGCCCUGGGUUUGAUCCCCAGCACCUGAA